UAUAUACUCCCUCCGUCCGGAAAUACUAGUCAUCAAAAUGGAUAAAAGGGAUGUAUCUAGAUGUAUUUUAGUUUUAGAUACAUCCCUUUUUGUCCAUUUUGAUGACAAGUAUUUUCAGACGGAGGGAGUAUCAU
rnacentral:pre_miRNA from 1 species